CUUUUAUGGAGAGUUUGAUCUUGGCUCAGGACGAACGCUGGCGGCGUGCCUAAUACAUGCAAGUCGAGCGCGGGAAGCAGACAGAUCCCUUCGGGGUGAAGUUUGUGGAACGAGCGGCGGACGGGUGAGUAACACGUGGGCAACCU
rnacentral:rRNA from 1 species